rnacentral:rRNA from 2 species
GCCCCGAGAUGAGUUCUCCCUGAGACUUUAAGUCUCCUGAAGGAACGUUGAAGACGACGACGUUGAUAGGCCGGGUGUGUAAGCGCAGCGAUGCGUUGAGCUAACCGGUACUAAUGAACCGUGAGGCUUAACCUU